UGAUAAUUAUGGUAAAAACAUAGUUUUGGUAUCCUUUAUUAAAAACUUAGGGGUGUGCAUGAAUAUUACCCAAAUUUUGGUCCUUUUUCCAUUUUUUCUAUACUAAUUUUUUUGCAUGUAUCAUUGUUGGGAUGACUUUUAUAUGGGAUUAUAAAAAAAACAUUCCUAUUAUGAUCUUCAUUUCUUUCCAACAAGUUAAAUACAUCACCUUCUUUGGAUACUUGUUAAGAUUCACCCAGCCUUAAUUUGCUGUAGUUUACCCAAUUGAAUUUAUAUAAUAAAUUGUGAAAACUUAUAUUACAUAAUUGAAUAAAAACUUAUAUUAAGAAAUUCAAAUAUUUAAUGACUUACCAUAGUUCUACCAAAUAGAGCCUUAGCCAUGGUUGCCUAUAUAAAGUCACAAACAAAUACAACUUAUUACAUCUACAUCUUUUCAUUCCAAAGGUUGCAUUCAAAUUCAAUAGCAGAAAAGGAAAGAAAAAUGAAGAGUUUCUCAGCAUUUGUUGUUCUUUUACUUGUUCUCUUCAACGCUUCUGCAGGUGAAUUUUACAUCUUAAUUAGUUCUUCUUGUAUAGUAUU
rnacentral:lncRNA from 1 species